rnacentral:rRNA from 1 species
AGAGUUUGAUUAUGGCUCAGGAUGAACGCUGGCGGCGUGCCUAACACAUGCAAGUCGAGCGGAGAGCCGUAACGGAAGCCUUCGGGCGGAAGAUACGGUUACUUAGCGGCGGACGGGUGAGUAACGCGUGGAUAACCUGGCUCAUACAGGGGGAUAACAGAGAGAAAUUUCUGCUAAUACCGCAUAAGCGCACGUAACCGCAUGGUUAUGUGUGAAAAGCCGAGACGGUAUGAGAUGGAUCCGCGUCCGAUUAGCCAGUUGGCGGGGUAACGGCCCACCAAAGCGACGAUCGGUAGCCGGCCUGAGAGGGCGGACGGCCACAUUGGGACUGAGACACGGCCCAGACUCCUACGGGAGGCAGCAGUGGGGGAUAUUGCACAAUGGAGGGAACUCUGAUGCAGCGACGCCGCGUGGGUGAAGAAGUAUUUCGGUAUGUAAAGCCCUAUCAGCAGGGACGAUAAUGACGGUACCUGACUAAGAAGCCCCGGCUAACUACGUGCCAGCCGCGGC